GUGACGAAGCGACGCCGCGUGGGUGAGGAAGGCCUUCGGGUUGUAAAGCCCUGUCAGGAGUUAAGAAAUGUAAGUGUGCUAAUAUCGCAUUUACUUGACGAAGGCUCCAAAGGAAGUCACGGCUAACUCUGUGCCAGCAGCCGCGGUAAUACAGAGGUGGCAAGCGUUGUUCGGAAUUAUUGGGCGUAAAGAGCACGUAGGUGGGUUUGUAAGUCAGAUGUGAAAGCCUCCUGUUCAACGGGAGAAUUGCAUCUGAAACUACUGAUCUUGAGUAUAGGAGGGGAGAAUGGAACUUCUGGUGGAGCGGUGAAAUGCGUAGAUAUCAGAAGGAACGCCGGCGGCGAAAGCGAUUCUCUGGCCUAUUACUGACACUCAGUGUGCGAAAGCUAGGGGAGCAAACGGGAUUAGAUACCCCGGUAGUCCUAGCCGUAAACGAUGGGCACUAAGUAGAGGGGUUUU
rnacentral:rRNA from 1 species